AGAUUGAACGCUAGCGGGAUGCUUUACACAUGCAAGUCGAACGGCAGCGCGGACUUCGGUCUGGCGGCGAGUGGCGAACGGGUGAGUAAUAUAUCGGAACGUGCCCAGUAGCGGGGGAUAACUACGCGAAAGCGUGGCUAAUACCGCAUACGCCCGUACGGGGGGAAAGGGGGGAUCGCAAGACCUCUCACUAUUGGAGCGGCCGAUAUCAGAUUAGCUAGUUGGUGAGGUAAAGGCUCACCAAGGCGACGAUCUGUAGCUGGUCUGAGAGGAUGAUCAGCCACACUGGGACUGAGACACGGCCCAGACU
rnacentral:rRNA from 1 species